rnacentral:rRNA from 1 species
GACGAACGCUGGCGGCGUGCUUAACACAUGCCAGUCGAACGGAAAGGCCCUGCUUGCAGGGUACUCGAGUGGCGAACGGGUGAGUAACACGUGGGUGAUCUGCCCUGCACUUCGGGAUAAGCCUGGGAAACUGGGUCUAAUACCGGAUAGGAGCCAUUUUUAGUGUGAUGGUUGGAAAGUUUUUUCGGUGUAGGAUGAGCUCGCGGCCUAUCAGCUUGUUGGUGGGGUAAUGGCCUACCAAGGCGGCGACGGGUAGCCGGCCUGAGAGGGUGGACGGCCACAUUGGGACUGAGAGACGGCCCAGACGCCUACGGGAGGCAGCAGUGGGGAAUAUUGCACAAGGGGCGCAAGCCUGAUGCAGCGACGCCGCGUGGGGGAUGACGGCCUUCGGGUUGUAAACUCCUUUCGCUAGGGACGAAGCUUUUUGUGACGGUACCUAGAUAAGAAGCACCGGCUAACUACGUG